UCUUCACGACCAAAUCUGGCCCAAUACUGGCCGUCCAGCAGUCCCAGCUAGGGUUUGCCCAUCGGCGCCGCCUAUAAAUCCAAUGCGCCGUAAGUCGCUCUCCCCUCCAGCUCCACACUUCGCCUUGCAAGAAAGAGGAGCACCGGCGAGCGACCUCGACCGACGCGAUGAGGGCCAAGUGGAAGAAGAAGCGGAUGAGGCGGCUCAAGAGGAAGCGCCGAAAGAUGAGGCAGAGGUCCAAGUAGACAGAUCAUGGUGGUGUCUGUGUUUGGUUCGGUCUUUGUUCAAUUGCCGUUUACUGAUCAAUUCUUGUUUCCUUUAGUAGAACAAAGGGUACUGUAAUGUAUCUUAAGUCAUCAACAUUGUUGUCUGCUGUGAUCUGUAAUGAUAUGUGAACUUGUGUUUCCUUUUUA